CUUAUGAGAAAAAAUAUGAGUAUUUUUUUAUUAUAUAAAUUAGAUUUUUAGAGGACCUGGUUCGACUUUCGGAAAUCUUUUCUUUCCCCUUGGAAAUAUUUAUCAUGGGGUCCGUACUUGUCCGUCAAUUCCCCAAGUGGCUGAGCGAAACAAGACCUGUCACAGGCUGCCCAUUUCUGCGGAAGGGUCAGUUAGAUGGUGGACAGCAGGGCGCAAUGAGUAGGCCACAUGAAUAUAUUUGUUCUGGAAGACCCAAAAAUCGAAUUUGGUCUUCCAAAGUAGAAUAUCAAAGCAUUUUCGCCUGCAAUCGUCCUCCACAAUUCGGCUGACACCUCUACAAGGUGAGCAGCUUGUGGAAGGGCGUGUUUCGCCCCGCCACUUAGUAAUUUUACUGAGUGGAAAGUGGCGUCGUCUGUUGACAAAAAAAAAAAAAAAAAUUUAUUAGAUUAGGAAUGACCAUCAUUUUAUGAAUUACGGUUCAGUUGUUAUCGGUAAUAACAACUAGAGAGAAAUUAUGGAUAAACUGGUACUGGCCUGAAAAUGGUAAUUUACGGCGCUGCGCACAAACACAACUAAAGAUAAGGUUAAAUUUCCUUUUAUUUAUUUACAGUUAUCUAUACACCCGAUACGUUGUUUAAUUGUUAAUCCCAUCUUAAAGUGCUCGGAGAUUUUUCUAUCGAUGAUUCCUAAAAAUUUCGCCAUUCUUUAUUCUUCGUCAACUAUAUAUAAUAUCAUUUCUCUCUCAAUUUAUCCUUUGUUUUCCAAAUUUAUGUGGCUGAGAUAAUUAUGUUGUGGUCAUUUAUAAAUGUUAUCACUAUCACUUUUUAUAUUACCGAUUUGGGAAGGAAAAGAAUUUUAUAUUUGUAGAAUUUUUAAAAAUGAAACAAUUUGAAGACAGCCGAUUAUUAAAAACAUUUCUUUUAGUUGUUAAAAUUCUCCCGCCAUAUUAUUAUUUUCAAAAUGAAGUUUUUCGAUUUAAAAAAAAUGCCGGUAUGAGCAGGUCCGCCGUAUUUUUGCCGUGGCCGCGCUAAAGUAUCCCGGGAACCGAAUAUUUAUCUUUCCUCAGAUCCCUUCAGAAAAAAUCCCGCUCUUUCGCUUCGAUUCCAUCGGGAAUGACCGGAGAGAUAGUAAUCGUUUAAAGAUGUUAAAAGUGGUGGUGGUGCGCAACAAAUGAGUUAGUAGGAUGGAGAAAGUUGAAAGUAUUAGUGACCCCGUAGCUAACAUUAUUUUACGAAAAACCCUACUGUUAUCACCCGAAAUCUAAACUGUUCGGCUAAAAACUGAUUCUCGACGGUUCCGUCAAUCUUUUUCUUAGUCAAUAGACGAAGCCAUUUUCCACGCUGGAAGAAUACUAAGUGGCGGCCUUUUCCACCUCGUCCCAGGGAUGGGCCGCUGUAAAUAUUUUCCAGAGGUGGAACUCGGGUCUCCACCCUGGAAAGCCCGAGCGUUGGCGGGCGACUCAUCCGACCCACCCCAUAAAUCCUACUAACGAUGUUUUUUCUUCUAUAGUAUGGAAAAAAUAAAACCAGUUUUUGUUUAAAAGAACACAUCAUUGUAUAGUUUAUAAGCAGAAGGAAUUUUUCUUUUAAUAAUAAAAUAUUUAUAGGAAUGGUUUGAUAUUUCCGGUCGGAUCCAUUUUGGAGGAAUUUUCUAUGGUCCACUGCCAACCGACGGGAUGUAUUUGACCGGUUGAUGGUCGGUAGAAUAAAUAUAUUCCAGAAAUUAAUCAUUCGUAGGGAAUAACAUCUCCCGUCUGACCGACGAGUUUUUAAUGCGUUUAAAAUUUCGUUGGCCAAACGCGUACGGGGUAGCCAGACCGCCAAAAAGGCCACGGACUGUAACGGAUCCGACGGGCUAAUCUCUCUCCUACCGAAGGACGCUACCAUCCGCCUUUUCGAUUUAUACCAUUAGCUAUAAUAAUUCUUAUAGAGAUUUGCCGACAUUUUUACCAUUUCCCAAUACGGCCGGUUUAAAUCCCGGUAGUUUAGCCGGUCUAAUAUAUUAAAUACUUUGGCCGACCUUCUUUCUAGUCGAGAAAAUUUUAUGAACGGUAUCCGAAUAAAUUUGAAAACUUAGCUGUUAAAAUGAGGCGCUUUACCAGCCUCUGGGACCAGCGCUUCAGUUUAGUUAUAGCAGUCGACCGGAAAUUGGCCGGAGCUUUCUUAUUUUGUUUGGUCGAGUUCCGUCAGCUUUAGUAUUAUCGGCCACCACCGGCAGUAUAGAAGAAGGUGGCAUUUAGAUAUUCUCCAAUAUUAAAGGGGAGAAGAGAAUCCGGUAGGCCGACCAUGGCUUUGGUACAGACUUAGCUAGCGGCCUUUGGUCGGGUGCCUAUUUAAAGCCCGGUGUCUUUAAAUUUGAGAUGAUGUCUACGGGCUCAUUGUGGCCGAAACAUUUGACUCGAGUAAUCGGCCUAACAAAACUCGAAAACCAAUCCUCUUUACCAUCUGGAGCCUUUCCGUGCCUGGGCCGAAACCACCUCUAGCCAACUACCCGUUACCGUUAACUUACAGGAAGAAAAUUUCCUAGCAGGCACCAAAAAUAACCUAUCCACUUAUAGUAAAAGCAGAAAUCUACAGCCUCUAUCGUCGGUAGAGAUAGUAGUAGUUUGGUUUAGGCCUUUCCUCCCAUUCUGGGGAUAUACGCCACCUGUAGAGCCACCACCGGAUCGUGCGGAAGGUCGAAAGACGGGACCGGUAGUGGUUAAAAGAACAUCAGAUUUAUGGAUUACCAAAUUUUAAUAAAAAUUCCGAAUUUUUAAACAUUAAUUUCAAAAAAACGGCUUGGGCCAAAAAAGAAACCUGUACUAAAUGUGUAAAUUGCUAAUGGGAGAAAAUAAUUAGAAUUUUCAAAAGAAUAAUUAUCAAAAUCUGAUAGCCAGUAACAUAUUUAAUAAAUACGAAUUCUUUCUAAAGAAAGUCGCUUAAUCUUUCUAAUAAAGAAGUUCAUUUUUUUCAUUUGGUCUUAGCCACUUCCGGGGGCUACUCCAUCCCGGACCUAAGCCGAUGGCAUCCCAUCGGGCCCCGCCCCCAACCAAAAUGAAAUGGCUAAUAAAUCGAAAAUAACGGUUUACUACUGGGCUUUUACACCACAACUAUCCAGGCGGCCGGAUGGCCGAGUGGUAACGCUGUCGGCGUGCCAUGCAGGAGUUCGAGUCCCGGGUCAGGUAACUCUCGAAAAGUAUUUUCGGGGUGCUGGGCCCGGCCGGGCGAUUCCCGUCCUUCACCAUCCGGCUCCCCUCCACGGGUGUGGGUGCAGCCCGUGGUUGCAACUGGCCCCGCUCGUUAGUAAC
rnacentral:lncRNA from 1 species